rnacentral:rRNA from 1 species
UUGAGAGUUUGAUCCUGGCUCAGGAUGAACGCUGGCGGCGUGGAUAAGGCAUGCAAGUCGAGCGAACCAUUUUUUGAACUUGGUUGAGAUUACAUCAAGGCCGAGGGAUGAAAAUGAUUAGCGGCGAACGAGUCAGUAAUACCUUGGUACGUACCCGAAAGCCGGGAACAACCAGCCGAAAGGUUGGUUAAUUCCCGAUAUUGUGGAAAUACGAAAGUCGCAAGACGCUUUCGGAGCGGCCUAGGUCCGAUCAGCUUGUUGGUGGGGUAACGGCUCACCAAGGCGACGACCGGUAGGGGGCCUGAGAGGGCGUUCCCCGACGAUGGAACUGAGAUACGGUCCAUACACCUACGGGUGGCAGCAGCCGAGAAUAUUCGACAAUGGAGGAAACUCUGAUCGAGUGACGCCGCGUGAAGGAAGAAGGGCUUCGGCCUGUAAACUUCUUUUCCCUGGGAAGAACUCUGACGGUACCAGGGGAAUAAGGGACUGCUAAUCACGUGCCAGCAGCAGCGGUAAGACGUGAGUCCCGAGCGUUAUCCGGAAUUAUUGGGCGUAAAGAGCGAGCAGGGGGAUUUGUUAGUCCUGCGUGAAAUCCAAAAGCUCAACUUUUGGGCGGGCGCGGGAAACGGCGAAUCUUGAGUCUGUCAGGGGCAAGCGGAACGUGCGGUGUAGGGGUGAAAUCCGUUGAUAUCGCACGGAACACCAAAAGCGAAGGCGGCUUGCUGGGACAGUACUGACCCUCAUUCGCGAAAGCGUGGAUACGGAAAAGGAUUAGAUACCCUUGUACCCCACGCCCUAAACGUUGCGCGCUAGCUAUGGCGGGAAUCGACCCUCGCUGUGGCGAAGCUAACGCGUUAAGCGCGCCGCCUGGGAAGUACGGCCGCAAGGCUGAAACUCAAAGG